UACGUAGGGACCGAGCGUUGUCCGGAUUCAUUGGGCGUAAAGAGCUCGUAGGCGGCCACUCAAGUCGAAUGUGAAACCUCGAGGCUUAACCUCGAGCCUGCAUUUGAUACUGGGCGGCUAGAGUCCGGUAGGGGAGUGGGGAAUUCCUGGUGUAGCGGUGAAAUGCGCAGAUAUCAGGAGGAACACCGGUGGCGAAGGCGCCACUCUGGGACGGUACUGACGUUGAUGUGCGAAAGCGUGGGGAGCAAACAGG
rnacentral:rRNA from 1 species